AGCGAACGCUGGCGGCAGGCCUAACACAUGCAAGUCGAACGAACCUUUCGGGGUUAGUGGCGGACGGGUGAGUAACACGUGGGAACGUGCCUUUAGGUUCGGAAUAACUCAGGGAAACUUGUGCUAAUACCGAAUGUGUCCUUCGGGGGAAAGAUUAAUCGCCUUUAGAGCGGCCCGCGUCUGAUUAGCUAGUUGGUUGAGGUAAUGGCUCACCAAGGCGACGAUCAGUAGCUGGUCUGAGAGGAUGAUCAGCCACAUUGGGACUGAGACACGGCCCAAACUCCUACGGGAGGCAGCAGUGGGGAAUCUUGCGCAAUGGGCGAAAGCCUGACGCAGCCAUGCCGCGUGAAUGAUGAAGGUCUUAGGAUUGUAAAAUUCUUUCACCGGGGACGAUAAUGACGGUACCCGGAGAAGAAGCCCCGGCUAACUUCGUG
rnacentral:rRNA from 1 species